GCUUCAGGGAUGCUGCUGCUACUGGCCGCGUCACCGUCACUAGGCAACGCUCCAUAACGACGAAGCCUAGCAACCGGGAGUCGCGGCUCCGCCCACUGGACCAAUCGGGUGACAGCGAGGAAGCGGUUCGCGGCUGGCUCUCAGGCGGACUCCGGAGCCGCCGAGGUAGACACGUGUGAGUGCUGGGGAGAGAGCGAUGAGAAGACGGGUCCUUGAGCUGGAUGUAAGGUGAACGCGUUCGACAGCAGGCAAGCUUUUAAAGAAAUGCUGACUUGUAGAUGCAGAUGGCUAAGGAGGAACAUUGAUGAUAUGCAUGUGCAACGUUGUGCAGACUGAAUUGGGACUUCCAGGUACAUCAUAAGAAAAAUAAAUCCAUCAACAACGUCGAAAGUAGCCUACUUCAAGAGGAAAUAUGCAGAAGAAGAAAAUUUACAUCAGGAUUACCAGGGGCGUUUUCCAAAACACCUGAUAUUACCUGAAGACCGGACCUGCAUUCUUAAACUGUCACUUGAAAAGCUCCGGUUCCUGGAAGAUCCUGAAAUUUACCUGCGGAGAUCCGUGUUGAUCAAUAACUUGCUAAAGAAGAUCCACCUGGAAGCUGACAAUGAAGACUAUGAAUACUACAAAGGCAGCCCUAGCAGCAGGAAUAUAUAUACGGAUGCCAGAAAACGGGUGAAGCUCAUGGUGAAAGGUUGUUGUUCUCAAUCUCUGUAUUAUGAGCAGCUGCGUACAUAUCAUAUUGUGCCUUAUGAUGCGGAAGAAGUUAUUUACCAAAUAGGCUAUUCUAACAGUCACGUGGCACAAAACUCUCAGCUGCUAAUAUACCGGAUGAAAGACUGACAGCCAAUAGUGGCGGCUUUUCCCAGUCAACAAUGUGCUGAAGUGGAAAAAACUAUAAAAUGUGGCACCGCUUGCAAGUAAUGCUAUUGCAGAUCAAAGAUGCCGGAUGAAAUUAGUACAUUCAAGCCGUAUUUUUGGUCAUGCGUGAUUGUGCAAAAUGGCAUUGCUUUUCAUGAAAUGUAUGCAUAUAAUGCAGAUGUGUCUAUUACUAUUGCAAUUUCAGACUUUCCCAGGGGGACGCUAGGCAUUGUAUGAAAGAGUACUGCAUUUUUAGCUGUUUUUACCAGUGGGUGUUUGUUUACUGUUAGAGUACACUGUAACCAGUUUUAGCUUUACUUUCCGCAAAGUGAAGAUAGUUUUAUCACCUGGCAGUGUUCUGAAUGCUAUGAGUCUGUAUAAGCUGUUUACUGAAUAAAAACAAUUAUCAGGUUAAUAAGUUUAGAUAUAAGAAUAAUCACAUUUAACUUGACUAUUCUAAUAUGCCUCUAUUUUCUUUUCUUCAAAAGAAAACCAGAAGAUAUUUUUGUAAAAAAACAAACAAUAAAAACAAAAACAUAUUUCAAGAAAUGAAGUGUUUGACCUCCAUUGAUCUAAUGUACACUUAAUAGAUUUUAGUGCAGGAAACGCAACACGUCUUAAUUGACUCUACUAUAAAAUUGAUCUUUUUUUUCUUUUUUUUUAUUCUGUUAAAAUAUUGAAUAUAUUUUUCAACGUCCUUUAUGUGACCUAGGUGUAUAAAAGAAUAAUCUAAGAAAGAACUAUUAAUUGCCAAAGAAGAGAUACAAACAAGAUACCAAAGACAUUUGGGAUUUCAGCAACCAUGAAAAUAAAACCAGGGAAUGUUAAUAGUAGGGAUACACAUAAAAACGCAUUAAGACACAGCUAGGAAGCAUUGUUGUAAUUCGUCUUGAAGAGCACUGCCAAACUUAUUUGAUUGCAGUUUGCAUUGUUAGUGAAUAAGGAACAAAACACGUGAGGUUUCAACUUGUACCAAUGUUCAUGUUGUAAUGCUAAAAUAUAUAUACAUUUUUGUUUUCAGGUUCAUUUGUUGGCAUAUUCUUUCUGUACAUGCUGACCUGGUGAAACUAUUAAAAUGAUUUAUGUCAAAAA